AUUGAACGCUGGCGGCAGGCUUAACACAUGCAAGUCGAACGCGUGGCGGAAGGGUGAGUUAUGCUUGGGAAUCUAGCUUAUGGUGGGGGAUAACUACGGGAAACUGUAGCUAAUACCGCGUACAAUAGGAUGGGCCCCAGUGGGUUUAGGUAGUUGGUGGGGUAAAGGCUCACCAAGCCGACGCUCUCUAGGUGGUCUGAGAGGAUGACCAGCAACACUGCGACUGAGACACGGCCCAUACUCCGACGGGAGGCAGCAGUGGGGAAUAUGGCGCAAUUGGGGCAACCUGACGCAGCCAUGCAGCGUGAAUGAAGAAGGCCUUCGGGUUUUGAAGUUCUUUCGGUAGCGAGGCGUUAACUACAGAAGAAGCACCGGCUAACUCCGUGCCAGCAGCCGCGGUAAUUC
rnacentral:rRNA from 1 species